AUCUUCAAACUUGAAACAUGAAGAAACGAUAUUUCCAGUUCCGCACAGGAGCAAGCAGACCAGGAAAUGCGAGGAGGAAGUGGAAUUUUUAGCUUUAGGAAAGGCUGACAGAGAUGGAGCCGGAUAUCUCAUGCAGUUAGAGGACAUUCCCAGUCGGGGAAGAGGAUUCCGCUACAAUAGGGACGGAGGCUGAUGUUUAAAGGGAUGAGGCUGAGGUGGAUGUUCAAAGAGCCGUGUGAGAUCUCCUCAGGCUUUACACGGACAACACCAAUUAUGAAGAUGUCCCCUUUUUCAGACUCAGCUGUCAUCCCACCUCCUAAAGCAUGGGAAAUAAUAACAGGAAGAUGUGUGACUGGGCAGUCGCUUCUGCUGUCCGUUGCUGCUUGAGUGCAACGUAUGGUCAGGUGGUGACUUACACAUUCUCAAGUUGGACGCUGCAGGUACUUUUGGAGACCAUACCAGCAGUUAGUUUUUGCGUAUCAAUUUCCUGUAUUUCAGAAGAGCAGCGCAAAGAAGUAAAUAUCUCAGCAGAGGGGGCCAGGUAACCUGUUCCGUCCAUCUUGACCACAAGCCAUCAAGGGGGCACCUGUUUUGGCCCGAGGACUCGUGGAAAGUUCCGAUUCCCGACACCGGCCAAUCCCGCUGGUCGCAUCCCCCCGCCCUCCGGCAGAAUUCGGAGAAGAAUCAUCCCCGAAGCUCAGGGGUCCAGGGCUCUGUUAUGAGCAGAUCUGCAUAACAUCAUCCACACUAAAAUGAAAAGCAGAGUCAGUGCGAGAAACAAAGUAUCUUCAGGUAGAAGAGAAACAAGCUAAUUCUACAAACAAGGAAAUGGCGGCACAGACAUGAAACUCAAAGAUAGGCUCAGACGACAGAGAUAUCGAAUGGAGCCGCAGAGAGUGUGGAAACAUCACACGCUGGCAGUGUGCCGGCUAAGGAAGCAGUUCAGAACAUCUCGCCAUGGACGGCGAUCAGAGUGCCGGUUCACAACGGUCCAGGCUCCGCCAUUUUAUUAGAGUCGCUGUCUGGGAAAGAAUAGAGGCUGGUUUUGCAAUCGGCGUCCGAGUGACAUGUGACAACACGCCUGACAAGAUGGCCUGUCCCUCCGCGGGGCCGGCAAAUGCACGCAAGGGGCCGCAGCAGAAUUCUGAAGAAGGUGAACUUCACGCUCGCGUAAUCUCUGUCUGCGAUUGGCUUCUCGCUCAGGGGAGCAAAGCCGAUUGGCUGGG